rnacentral:lncRNA from 1 species
UAAAUAUAGUAAUGUUUAUUUUUCAUUCAUAGAUUAAUAUGAUAAUAUAGGAUCAAAUUCAAUUACUAAGGGUCUGUUUGUUUCAACGUAAGUAAAAUUUAGAUUGAAGUAGAUUUUAGGUUGAACGAAAGUUCAGGUGAUAAUUACUUCACCUCCACUGUUUGUUCUUAUAGCUGUGAAAGUGAAAAGUUCUGUUAAUUCUGCUAUUUGUUUGGCGAAAAGUAAAUAGCUAAAAAGAACAGUUCCAUACUUUCUCUAUUAAUUUGUUUUACCGAAAAUUGUUAAAUCCCCACACGAGUGUAAACUUACCUCCUACAUUAUAUCAUUCCAUAUUAUAUAACUUAAUAAAUAAUAAAUUAUAAUAUAAUAAAUAAAAAUAAUUAAAAUAAAAUUUAAAAUAAUUAUAUUAAUUUUUUUGGAUAUAAAUUAUAAUAAUGCAUUAAUAAAAUAUUAAAAUUAAAUAAAUAUUAACAUUCAAUAAAUUAUUUUUUAUCGUAUUUUAAAUG